rnacentral:rRNA from 1 species
UGGGGAAUCUUGCACAAUGGGCGAAAGCCUGAUGCAGCAACGCCGCGUGCGGGAUGAAGGCCCUAGGGUUGUAAACCGCUUUCAGUAGGGAAGAAAAUGACGGUACCUACAGAAGAAGGUGCGGCCAACUACGUGCCAGCAGCCGCGGUGACACGUAGGCACCAAGCGUUAUCCGGAUUUAUUGGGCGUAAAGAGCUCGUAGGCGGUUCGGUAAGUCGGGUGUAAAAACUCUGGGCUCAACCCAGAGAG